rnacentral:rRNA from 1 species
UACAGAGGUCUCAAGCGUUGUUCGGAUUCAUUGGGCGUAAAGGGUGCGUAGGCGGCGGUGCAAGUCCGAUGUGAAAUACCGGGGCUCAACCCCGGAACUGCAUUGGAUACUGCAUUGCUAGAGUACUGGAGAGGGAACUGGAAUUUACGGUGUAGCAGUGAAAUGCGUAGAGAUCGUAAGGAAGACCAGUGGCGAAGGCGAGUUCCUGGACAGUUACUGACGUGAGGCACGAAGGCCAGGGGAGCAAACGGG